rnacentral:rRNA from 1 species
GGACUACCCGGGUUUCUAAUCCUGUUUGCUCCCCUAGCUUUCGCAGCUGAGCGUCAGUAAUGGUCCAGGUACCUGCUUUCGCCAUUGGUGUUCCUCCCGAUCUCUGCGCAUUUCACCGCUACACCGGGAAUUCCAGUACCCUCUCCCAUACUCAAGCCUGAUAGUUUCUGUUGACCUCUCCCAGUUAAGCCGGAAGCUUUCACAACAGACUUAUCAAACCGCCUACCUGCCCUUUACGCCUAGUAAAUCCGAGUAACGCUUGCCACCUUCGUAUUACCGCGGCGGCUGGCAC